GAGAGAGGAAUCUAUGGCAGUACAGUGGCAAAUUCGAGGGCGACAUCCUUUUGCCAAGCAAACGGAACGCGGCGACUAAUGUGAAUCUUUGAUGGCCGGGAGGCGUUGUGUGUUACACCAUUACUGGCAGUUUCAGUGCAUCGGACCGUAAUCUGAUAAUCACCACGCUGAGUACUGGGUUUCCGAAUACGUGCGUUUAUCCGUACCAGUCGACAACAUACUGUGGAGGAAGCGUGGUUCAGAUCACGAAUGCCGAUCCGAGCGGGUGUUACGCCG